rnacentral:lncRNA from 1 species
GAUCUUGCUAUGUUGUCUAAGCUGGUCUUGAAUUCCUGGCUUCAAGUGAGAGCCUCCUGCCUUGGCCUCCGAAAGUGCUGGAAUUACAGGCUGCCUGAUGACCACUAGAGGUAUGUCUGCCCCUCGUCACCCUGCUGCACACCAAUCUGUGGCCCUUCAUCAUGCUAAGAACAAGAACUGCGCCAUGGCUGGCUCCUUCUCUUCUCCAGCCCAUCCCUCUGCAGCCUGUCAUCCCUGUCUGUGACCAUUGGUCGGGCCCCUGGGCUCUAGAGUGACUUUUGACGCCCUCCAUCCCUCCCGCCAGGCACUGUCCUCCGCAAGGCCUGGUGCAGCCCUGGCAGUAACUGGCUUGUAAGAGGCUCAGACACCAAGCUGGGCCUGCAGAGGAGGGGCACAGUAGGACACAGUGACUGCCCAGGUGUCCACACACCUGUAGGCCUCUGAGCCAGCGUCCAGGGUACAGGUGCGGGUGGUGGGGAUGAAGGCCUGACCAGGGAGGGAGAAGCAGGUUUGGAGAGGACCCUGUGCCCACCCUGACAGACACCCUGGCUGGCCCUGACUGACUGUAUUCUCUGGCCACAUUCAAGUCCCCCAUUGGUGGGGGCAGAGAAGUAGGACCAGGCCAUCCUUGGCUCCAGAGCUCGAAGACCCCAAGACAGCCCUCUGCUCUCAGCGGCGCCACAGAGAGCCUGGGCUCAGCCUUCUGCAUCAGGACAUGGCCUCGUCCACUGAGGGCACGAUUUAAACAUUUGACAUCAGAAGCUUUAUUUGUAAACCUCACACAGAUAAGGACCAAGGGCUGGCGGUGUGGCCAGAGGACAGGGGAAGCUGAAGGCCCCGUGCUUGAGCUCGGCAGUCCUGCUCCUUGCAGUGAAGCCACCAUGGGUGACCGUCCAGCCUCACCCGGUGGCCUGCACAGUGAGGGAAGGGCUUCAGGGCCAUCUGCUCCCAGGGCAGGGGACAGGCCACCAAGGACCUUUGGCAAAUGAAGGUUUACAUUUCUGUAGUUUGUUUGUUUUAGAGCUUAAUUUGUAGUUUUUUAGCUAUUAAAACCAUUUGAAUUUUUAACGACCUGAUGAGGGCAUCAGGUAAAUUAAAGGAUUUUGGGAAGAUUCUU